rnacentral:rRNA from 1 species
GGAUGAACGCUGGCGGCGUGCCUAAUACAUGCAAGUCGAACGGAGAUCUAGCAAUAGGUCUUAGUGGCGAACGGGUGAGUAACGCGUUGGUGACCUGCCCCGAAGAGGGGGAUAACAGCUCGAAAGGGCUGCUAAUACCCCAUGAUAUCUCACUGGUUAGAGUGGUGAGAUGAAAAGAGCAAUCUGCUUUGGGAGGGGCCUGCGUCCCAUCAGCUAGUUGGUAGGGUAAAAGCCUACCAAGGCGAAGACGGGUAGGGGGCCUGAGAGGGUGAUCCCCCACACUGGCACUGAAACACGGGCCAGACACCUACGGGUGGCAGCAGUAGGGAAUAUUGCACAAUGGGCGAAAGCCUGAUGCAGCAACGCCGCGUGCGCGAAGAAGGCCUUCGGGUUGUAAAGCGCUUUUCGGGGAGAUGAGGAAGGACAGUAUCCCCGGAAUAAGGCUC